rnacentral:rRNA from 1 species
GAGACAGCAGUAGCCGCGGGAAUACGGAGGGCGCGAGCGUUACCCGGAUUUACUGGGCGUAAAGGGCGUGUAGGCGGCCUGGGGCGUCCCAUGUGAAAGGCCACGGCUCAACCGUGGAGGAGCGUGGGAUACGCUCAGGCUAGAGGGUGGGAGAGGGUGGUGGAAUUCCCGGGGUAGCGGUGAAAUGCGCAGAUACCGGGAGGAACGCCGAUGGUGAAGGCAGCCACCUGGUCCACUUCUGACGCUGAGGCGCGAAAGCGUGGGGAGCAAACCGGAUUAGAUACCCGUGUAGUCCCUGUCUCUUAUAC